rnacentral:lncRNA from 1 species
UAUUAUUUGAGUCGUACAAUAAGAAAAUAUUUAUAAUAUUAAAUUUUUUUUAGCAAUUUUCUGUAACAGAAUCAGAAGCUGUAAAUGCUGCACUGAAUAUGAUUGUAGCUGAAAAGAGAAGUAAAAAUGGGGCCUGAUAAUCUCGAAACGUGACAAGUUUCAUGUCCUUUUGAGGGAUCUAUAUAUAUCGUGUAGUUCGCAAUAUUGAGUCCAUGGGACAAACUUAAUAAAGAGCUUAUUAUAGGGGAUUUAAUGAUAGAA